AAGUCGUAACAAGGUCUCCGUAGGUGAACCUGCGGAGGGAUCAUUACCGAGUUAGGGUCUCACCGGCCCGAAUCUCCCAACCCUUUUGUCUACUUGACCAUCGUUGCUUCGGCGAGCCCGUCCUCACGGACCGCCGGGGGGUCUUCGUACCCCUUGGCCCGUGCUCGUCGAUAGCCCCCAAACUUGAAAAAUCUUUAACUAAACGUGUCUUGAAUCUAAGUAUUAUUGUUAAAUAAAAACAAAAACUUUCAACAACGGAUCUCUUGGUUCUG
rnacentral:misc_RNA from 1 species